rnacentral:rRNA from 1 species
CCUACGGGGGGCGGCAGUAGGGAAUAUUGCAAAAUGGGCGCAAGCCCGAUGCAGCAACGCCGCGUGGGCGAUGAAGGCCUUCGGGUCGUAAAGCCCUUUUUGAGGGGAUGAGGAAGGACAGUACCCUCAGAAUAAGCCUCGGCUAACUACGUGCCAGCAGCCCCGGUC